GAUUUUGUUAAGCGGUACACAAACAUUGAAGACCUGUUGUGUACUGCAUCAGCUUUGGAUCCACGCUUCAAAACCCUGCCUUUCCUCAGUGACCGUGAGACCGAGAGGAUCUUCUUGUCCAUUACAGAUGAAGCUACAAACCUGCAUGAUAAGAAAGUAGAGGAGAGCCAUCCCAGUCCGAGUGAUAUUCAAGAGCCAGAUCAGAGAGACCCAACAUCCGUCCAGUCCAGGUCCAUGAAGAACCAAGAGGUGAUUGUCCUCCUUGUAAAAAGAGGAAAAGUACAGCACUGGACCAGCUGUUUGGAGAAACAUAUGUGGUAAGACCAUCAAGAAGCUCCAGGGAGAAGGUCAGCGAGGAAAUCCUGAGGUACAGAGAGAGAAACCUUUUGCCCCUGAAUGGCAAUCCACUGGAGUGGUGGAGAGCACAGGUCGACUUACCAUUGUUGUCAGAUAUUGCAAAAAGAUACCUCUGCAUACCAGCUACAAGUGUAGCAUCAGAAAGAGUUUUCAGUACCGCAGGAGAUAUUGUUUCCUCUCAACGCAGUGUACUUAGGGGUGACCAUGCCGAUCAAUUGAUUUUUCUCAAGAAGAAUCUUAAAAAACUCGAGCACAAAUGAAUUAUUAGGAGGUAGCUAAAGGAUAUCAGCAUACACUAAAUGUCCUACAAGAAUUGUAUUAGUUCUACUUAUAUAUAUUUUUUUUCUCCUUAUGCUGUGUUUGGCAGCAAUUUGUGCCAUUACAUUAAAGUAAUAAUCUAGGCCAGGAUGGCGGUUUUGGUUUAAACAUUAUUUUCUUACAGU